rnacentral:misc_RNA from 1 species
UACGGAGGGGGCUAGCGUUGUUCGGAAUUACUGGGCGUAAAGCGCGCGUAGGCGGCGGCGUAAGUUGGGCGUGAAAGCCCGGGGCUCAACCCCGGAGGUGCGCCCAAGACUGUGCUGCUGGAGGCCGAGAGAGGGUGGCGGAAUUCCCAGUGUAGAGGUGAAAUUCGUAGAUAUUGGGAAGAACACCGGUGGCGAAGGCGGCCACCUGGCUCGGACCUGACGCUGAGGCGCGAAAGCGUGGGGAGCAAACAGG